GUAAUAUAGAGAUACCUUUUCUUUUUCUUUAAAAGAAAGGUCGGGUUUAAAUUGGGCUAUUAGCUCAGUUGGUUAGAGCGCACCCCUGAUAAGGGUGAGGUCUCAGGUUCAAAUCCUGAAUAGCCCAGUGGGGGGUAUAGCUCAGUUGGUAGAGCGCUGCCUUUGCAAGGCAGAUGUCAGCGGUUCGAGUCCGCUUAUCUCCACGGUUUUAAUAAAUUAACUCAUGAAAUAAAAUUGUUAUCAGAUUCAAGAAACUAAGGGCUUAGGGUGGAUGCCUUGGC
rnacentral:tRNA from 1 species